AAACUGCCUUCUGGGGAGGGAGUUUGUAUUUGAGAGGCAGUACCUGAACUGAAUUACAAGUCUGUUGUAAGAGUGAUACAGCAAGAUAAUAGUACUGACUUCAGCUCAACCUGCUGUAAUAGGGUGGACAAUCAGAGCCAGUAACCACCUCAUGGUAGUUGCAUCAGCUGUGGAGAAAGCUCUGGAUUUUCAUUUAUUCCAACAGAAAGGAAACAAGUGUCA